AGGACGACGCUGGCGGCGUGCUUCAUACAUGCAAGUCGAACGAGAAUCUGGUGCUUGCACCAGAGGAAAGUGGCGGACGGGUGAGUAAUAUGUAGAGAAUCUGCCCUUUAGCGGGGGACAACAGUUGGAAACGACUGCUAAUACCCCAUAUGAGCGUAGCUGAGAUGCUAUUCUUGAAAACUCCGGUGCUAAAGGAUGAGUCUGCAUCUGAUUAGCUAGUUGGCGGUGUAAUGGACCACCAAGGCGACGAUCAGUAGCUGGUUUGAGAGGAUGAUCAGCCACAAUGGGACUGAGACACGGCCCAUACUCCUACGGGAGGCAGCAGUAGGGAAUUUUGCGCAAUGGGCGAAAGCCUGACGCAGCAACGCCGCGUGACCGAUGAAGCCCUUCGGGGUGUAAAGGUCUGUCAGUGGGGACGAAACUUGACGGUACCCACAGAGGAAGCAUCGGCUAACUCCGUGCCAGCCGCCGC
rnacentral:rRNA from 1 species